rnacentral:rRNA from 1 species
ACACGUAGGGGGCGAGCGUUGUUCGGAAUCAUUGGGCGUAAAGGGCGCGCAGGCGGCGAGGCAAGUCCGGUGUGAAAGUGCUCGGCUCAACCGAGUGAUGCGCUGGAAACUGCCCUGCUUGAGUAUAGGAGGGGACGUCGGAAUUCCAGGUGUAGGGGUGAAAUCUGUAGAUAUCUGGAAGAACACCGGUGGCGAAGGCGGACGUCUGGCCAUGUACUGACGCUGAGGCGCGAAGGUGCGGGGAGCGAACAGGUUUAGAUACCCUGGUAGUCCGCACAGUAAACGAUGUGCACCAGGUGGCGGGGGGUAGCCCUCGGUACCGAAGCCAACGCAUUAAGUGCACCGCCUGGGGAGUAUGCUCGCAAGGGUGAAACUCAAAUGAAUUGACGGGG